rnacentral:rRNA from 1 species
ACGAACGCUGGCGGCGUGCUUCACACAUGCAAGUCUAACGGAAAGGCCCUGCUUUUGUGGGGUGCUCGAGUGGCGAACAGGUGAGUAACACGUGAGUAACCUGCCCUUGACUUUGGGAUAACUUCAGGAAACUGGGGCUAAUACCGGAUAGGAGCUCCUGCUGCAUGGUGGGGGUUGGAAAGUUUCGGCGGUUGGGGAUGGACUCGCGGCUUAUCAGCUUGUUGGUGGGGUAGUGGCUUACCAAGGCUUUGACGGGUAGCCGGCCUGAGAGGGUGACCGGCCACAUUGGGACUGAGAUACGGCCCAGACUCCUACGGGAGGCAGCAGUGGGGAAUAUUGCACAAUGGGCGGAAGCCUGAUGCAGCAACGCCGCGUGCGGGAUGACGGCCUUCGGGUUGUAAUCCGCUUUCGCCUGUGACGAAGCGUGAGUGGCGGUAAUGGGUAAAGAAGCAGCGGCUAACUACGUG